rnacentral:lncRNA from 1 species
CAAGAUCGUGGCUGGUCAAGGACAGGGAGGGAAGGAGAAGGUGGGGAGGAGGAACAAAAAGCUGAGGCGAGAGCCUGGAGAAGGGGGACCUGCUGUCUGUUUGAACUUCACUGGGCAGGAGGCAGCCCUGGACCUGCACCCAGACCUGGGCCUGCACACCACAGGAGCAUACAAUGGUGCUGUGCAUGUCUUGUCCUGGCAUCAGAGAGCUCCAGCAGCCUGAAGAUGUGCAUUCAAUGAGCCGUUUUACUGGCAGCAGGUGACUAUCUCCAGCAGAGGAACUGGAGCUGCUCUGCAAAGCAUGCCAGUAACUGUGCUGCUAUGGGGACACACCAUGGGAAUUCGCCCAGGACUGGAUGUUCAGCACUAGGUACAGUGAAAUUAGAUUAACGUGUGCUUUGGGGAGGAAGUGAUGGGCUUGAUAGUGUCUGAAGGAGCAGGAAUCACUGGAGAAGGAUGGGUUUGGAUGGGUUUGUACACCAGGGCUUGCAGUGCUCGCUGAGCAGGGGGACACAUCAAAGGGGUGGCUGUGGUUUGGGAUUGGGAACAGUGCCUGCCUAUGCAGGACAAACACUCAUCCCUCUCACGUGUAGAGGCGAGCAGCAUUGGUGUGUGAGCUCACAGUGGCAGGAAACCUGGGCUGAUAGCUGUUAGUAACAGUGCUGAAAUAGCAAGGCAGUGUGGUUUUUAUUUCGGAGCGUUCGCUGCAUAGUCAGGGCUCAGAAAGACACAGCAGAAAACAAAAGAGGCGGGUUGGUAGAAUGCUAUUAGAGCCAUUAAUCACCAUUAAGAACUAAUAACUGUGUACUGCCUCCCUGGUGCUACUUGCUACCGCACCACCCAGCCCCAAUCCCCUGCUUUAUAACAGCUUCACACUCAACUCAGCUGCCAGAAAAACUUCCUGCCCUCUGUCUGAACCCACCGACUUGGCCCUAAAUCCCCACCCACAACCCACCAAUGUGAAACUUCCUCUUCCCACCACUUCUCUGCAGCAGCUUUGCCUUCAGGAGCACUGAGCCCAGUGAUUCUACCAGAUGGGAUGUUUUUUUUGUGCAGUACGGGUAGCUAGAUUAAUAGAUUAUUUUAAACUUCCCAUUAAAAAGCAUCCAAAUAAGUGCCUCAAAGCAAUUGAAUUAGCCUAGCUGCAGUCACACGAGGCUACUUCUGUAGAAAAGACAAAUUUGAGGCUCUCUCCAUCCAUCCAUCCACCCACUCAUCCAUCACCCACCCAUCCUUGGCCCACUCCUUUUCACAGUGCCGACAAGGACAGGGUAUUUUUCAGAGUCUCACAGACAGCAGCCCAGCAGAUGGCAGAUCUCUGCAACCCUGGCUGGAAUGGGGACAGUGUGAGGCUGGAGAGAAGAGACUGAAACAAUUCUAUUCCCACCAAAAAUAACGCCCAGAGCUGUUCACAGUCUUCAGUGCGUUCUUGUUUCUACUUGAGAUGCUGGAUUUUUGUGUGAUAGACACCAAAACAAUCAAAAUACAGAAGCAUUUCACAUUAUCUGAAUGGAUUUAGACUUCGGCUUUCUAUCAAUUAAUCAGUCAAUCAAUCAAUCUGUCAGAGACCUUUCCUGUAUUUCCUGUUGAGCCCUGGGUUAAAAAGCCAGCUUUGCAGUAGCAGUGCUGCUUGCUGCAUAUCCUCUGAGCUCUGAGCUCCUGAAAUUUUAAAUAUAUCUGUAUGUUUUGCUUUUAUUUCCAGCCUCUCCGCUGGUGGAGGAACCGUCAAGGUCAUAUUUAUAUUUAUUAGAUUCAUUGUAUUGGUUGCUGUGGAGUGCUGCUGUGACACCAGAACAAAUUGCUGUGCUGGGGAAGGACAGGAGAGGGACCGAGGAGUUAGGGCAGGGGGCAGGUGGGCACGGUGUGCUCCUGACCCACCGCCAUGGGAGGGCAGAGGGGGCUUUGCUCCGGCAUCAUCUCAGAUGGAGACCGCUUCGAGUCCUCGUCCCACUCUGGCUUCCUCUGUAGCAUGAACUGCUGUGCUUGGAAAUCUCAUCCACGGCAGAAGUCAGGAGAAAUUUUGGCAUUCCUUAAGGGGUUUUGGUCAUGAGAGAGGGGUAUAACAUUUCUGGUGAUCUUUGUGUGCAGUGCUCACCUUCCCCUUCCCCUCUAUCUGCAGCAUCCUCCAGACCCCCCAUAAAAGAGGGGGAGACUCUCCAGCAGACACUUGUUUCUCUCCCCAUGUGGGCUCCUUUGAGCCACGUGCCUGGGGUUGAUGAGGCUGCUGGCCAUAGAUGCAGAAGCCAAAAUCACUUUCCUCUGCCUGAAGCUCCUGGCAUCCCUAUCUGCCAGGGGAGUGAGAGGUCUAAAUCUCUUGUGCCUGCUUUUGGACGUUGAUUCUGAUUCAGCAAGCAGGCUGCUGCACUGCUUAAGUCAUAUCUGAGAAUCUCAAGGGGGCUUAUGGCCAACCUGCAGUCACCCUGGGGCGUUUCCACCAGCAAGAUGUUGUGGGAUGGAGGGCAAUUCCCUUACAAAAAGCUAAUGAUGAAUUCAGGGCAUAUUUAAAAAUCAAGGUUGAAGUGUUGCAGGGCUUUGGCACAAGGAGGACAAGGCACAGGUCCAUUGGCAAGCGCUCCAGCUCCUGGGUAGGAUUUGGGGAAGUGCUGGGGUUAUGGGGACACCCCACCCCUCCUGGUGCCUAGGGUGGCUGAUGGGAGCUUUGGGGCGCCGAGCUCUUGUAUACAGGUGGCAGCUCUUUCCCCUUGGGGGUGUUCACAUCCCAGAGGAGACGCUUGAGGCUUUGGCUUGAAACGGAUGAAGAUCAAAGCCUGCCCACAGACCUUCAUCCCAGCAGGCAGGAGGAAGAGGGAGAGGCAGACACAGAGGCAGCAGAUGCAGUGACCUUUGCAUCCUGUGUGAAAGGAAGCUGAAAGUCAAAUGCCAGCCCCACCAGGCAGCUCUGCAUCCCAACCUGCUGCUUGCCCCUGCUGCUGUGGCGUUCAGAGUUGCUGCGAGCCUAUAGCGGCCUUGGUUGGCUCCUGCUAUUCAUUUCAAUUGAUUUAUUUUUAGUUUUGUGGAAAGGAAGAAAGUGAUAAAUAAAUAAAUAACCUCCCACCCUGUCCCAACUCCUGGCAGGCUCCUUGUAGGCUGUCAUCUUGGUGGGGUGAUGGAAAAUAUCUCCACCCUUCCUCCUCCCCAGCAGCAUCCAGCAAGCCAUCCAUCACCCAGCCCUGGGAACAGGAGGUCUGCAGGGUCAGCGGCCAGCCCCCUGCUUCAGCUCAUCCCAUGGGGUUUGGCUGUAGGGUGAGAGCUGUAUUUUGGGAUGGUCUGCGCAUGGAGCAUCAGAAAGGAGCUAACUUGGGGAUGAAAAUGGGGGACAAGGAGGGAAAGGUGUCCCCCUCUUCUUGCUGGCCUGUAGGAAUCAGAGGAAGGGCACAGCCCUCUGCAGCAGCCGCAGCAGCUUCUGCCUGCACUGCAGUUUGCCAAGCACUGCUCUGCAUUUGCUGCAUUUGCUGCAGGAGCAGCCCCAAAAGCAGUAGCCCCAAAAACAAGGAUGAGCCCCGGGAGGACUCGUGGGGGGACAGCAAAAUGAAGACAGCAGGUCAACCUAGGGGCAGAUAUUGCUCUACCUCAUCAAAUAGAUGUGCCUGGGAGGAUUUCAAUUUAAGACAUAGCUUGCAGUGCAAUCUCAAACAGCUUUUGGUCCAGAACAGCCGUGAGGUGUUGCUCACAAAAUUUAGGAUGCUGCUACUGUAAUAAAUAACAACGGAGUCAAUCCUCACACUAAUUAGUGUUCAGUCUCAGUGGGGAGGAGGCAGGCAGUGGGUUGGUUCUGCACCUGCUGGAGCAUCUCUGCUGCAUCCCUGAAUGGCACAAAGUGCUGGGGACGCUGCAAGGAGCCAAGGCUGCUGUGGGGGGACCCUGCCUGGGGAUGCUCUGGGACCUUCAUCCAGAGCAACUCCUGGAGCAUUUCAGCACACCCUGUCCCCACCUUCCAUCUCAAAUCAUCCUAUCUCAGAUGGGUAGGAGCACCAUUCCCUCAGCCAGUAUUUCUCUAACUUAUAUCCUUAUGUCCUAUAUCAUGUAUAUCCUGCCAAAAUGAAGUCAUUCUUCUAAUUAUGCAGACAGAGGUGGGAGAGGGAGGGGUCCAGCUCCUCCGGUAGAGCAUUUAGUCCCACGCUGGCAUUUGGUCAGGGGAAAUCAAAGCACAGUUCAUCCUGUGAGACUGAGAGGGUUCUCAGCUAAAGCAUGAGCAGAGAGCAGAGGUUUGAGCAGAAACUCAGUGCUGGUGUCAUUUGGAAACGGUGAAAGAAGGAAAAAAUAUUGCAUCCUCCCCAGGCUUUACUUACAACACAAGUGAAGCACUGUGUUGGGGUCACUGGAGUUCUGCACUUCAACGGACCCUUUAAAAUAAAAAAAAAAAAAGAGCGGAUGUCAGCAAAUGUUGCCCUAAAGCCAGGAAAUCCUGAAUUAUUCUAAGAGGAGGUCAAAUGGAAACACUUUAAGAAAUGUCAGCAGAUGUCCUGUCACUUUCAGAAAGGUUUCCCCUCAUGUUCUGGACUGGAGCCUUGUGUCAGAUUUGAGCCCUCUCUGUAGGUCUUUAGGUGUCUCCACAUGGAAAAAAAUCCCAGCAGCUGGAGAUGCCCCCCAGCCCCAAGCAACGGUGAACCAGCAUGUGUCCCCUAGGUCUCCACCUCUGGCUGGAGCUGGUGGCACUCAGGGAAGGAGCACUUGCAAACCUUCUGCACGAUGCUUCUCUCUAUCUCACUGCUGGAGCUCCCAGAGCUGGUGCACUGGGGUAGCUGAUGCCUGGGGUAGGGCAGUUAGCAUGUGUCUUGUUUUUUCCCCUGUUAUAUACCAUAAGCAGGUGCGACGGCUUUUCCCACACCCAGGACCAUCCCCAGUGCUCUGAGCUACAUCUACAUUCAAGGAGAGGUGUUACCUGGACAGCUGGAAGGACACUGAUGAGGCACUGGCACAGACUGCCCAGAGAGAUGCCCCAUCCCUGAGAAGGUCAGGCUGGAUGGGGCUCUGAGCACCUGAUAGAGCUGUAAGUGUCCCGGUUCGUUGGAGAGGAGUUGGACCAGAUGGCCUUUAGGGGUUCUUUCCAACUCAAAUGGUUUUAUGAUUCUACGAUGACAUUGUCUUGUGCCACAUCUGGCACCUUCCCAAGAGUUCUUGGCUCUUGAAUUGCAGAGCUGGGAGUUUCCAGGAGGAGGAACACUGCAAACCCCCUGCAAUGAAACCACUCAAUCAAAACCAGCACCGCAAGAUCAACAUUUUGGGAACUGUUAGUCCCUCUGAGUUUAGAGCACGCCAAUGGCAGAUAACUCACAUCUGCUUCUGAAAGCAGGAGAUUAGCCUAAUUUAGCAUGAGCUCAGAUAUCAGCAACAAAAUCUAAUUACGAGGACAUGUCAGGCUCAUUGAUCACUUGAAAUGGCAACGCAAAAAGUUGGGCCAAUUGCAUAAUGACUGCAGAGUGCUUCCACCCUGUGCUGUUUUGCUAGGGGAAUUUGCUUCCCCAAUUAUCUUGUAUUGAUGGGAGCCCAGUGCCGUGCUGAUGAUGGCACGUACCUUGUUUUAUAUUAAAAAUACGUUUUGUGCUUGCUGGAAAUUACAAAAAGCAAUUCCAGAAAUACUGGAUGGAAAUGCAUUAGAUCCCAAGGGUUUCUGACAGGUAAUGGGAUGUCUGCAGCAGUUCUUGUAGGACUGAGUCCAGCGUCCCCAUGGAUGAUGUGGAGCUGCUCGCCCUCACGGCAUCAACACUUGAGCCCCACUGCUAAAGUGUUCAUCACAGCUGACAUUAAGUGACAGCAAUUGUUUCCUGGUGGCUUUUUGCUUCCCCAGGCCAGGAAGGCUCUUACUGCCUUGUUCUGUGCAGUGCCUGUGCACAAGGAGCAGUGCCUUCCAAGGGACGCCUGUCGGAGUGCAAAAAGAGGGAAAGCAGAAAGGAAAACAUUUUAAAAGAUAAAAUAAAGCUUAGUCAGUCAGGUACUGGUACGGAGUCAAGAUGCAUUUUGGAUGAGGGGCUGUUUUAUAGAUGGGCUGAUGUCUGCUCAGACAAGCGUGGAGCGUGAGGGAGUCAAUGAGGAUGGAGCAGCGCAGUAAUGGAUUUUCCUGUGUAUCACCACUGCUCCCGCAACGUCCAGCGAAGCAAAUGAUUGCGUCUGCAGCAUCAAUCAUUUAGCAUCGUUAGACAAGAAGCUCUGCCACAAGAUGAGCAUCUCAUGCUUGGAAAGCAAUUGGCUCGGCUUUACCUCAGCGCUGCUGCAGCAGGGGACCUGUUAUCCCUGGUGGCAGGGUUCCUGUUUGGGGAGCCCAGGUCAUGAGCCCUCCUUACUGCUCAGAUUAUUCACAGCCCUGAAAUAAUACCUGCCUGUGACCAGGCAGCCACCAUCCAUAAGGCACGGUCAGAAGCAUGAGCUAUUAUCCAGCCGCUGGCUCUUCUCAGGAAGCUCAUUUCCAUGCAGAAUUGCACCUUGUGCAAUAUAUCUGCGGGAGCGAUAGCUGAAUGCCUCCGCUUCAGGGAACAGGACCAAAAAAGUGAGUGAGAACUAUUGAUCUGGUUUUAAGGAGAGCUGUAUCUAUUAAUCUGGGAACACUAAUCACUGGGGGCUGACAGGAACAUGAGGUUUCCAGUGCCAUGCUGACACUCCUCAGCCUCUUGGGUGAAGCCUGAGGAUGACAAGCUGCUUUCCUGGAGCUGGGCAGGAAAGCCCAGCAGGAGGUCCCCGACAGCUACUUAGAUGGGAAGGGUAAUACCAAAGAGAUGGUCCUGGGGAGCCCUGAGGACAUUUGUCAUCUUGCAGUUAUCCCCACAAGCCUGAGCUGGACGUGGCAUUACAACAAAGGUGGCUGUCUGCCUCCUGGGAAGGGGGCAGGGGUGGUUAUUGCGUUAUUAUUUUCUUCUUUCAGUAUAGCAAAUAUGACAUAAUAAAGCUGAGAGCUGACUAAGAUAGGAAGCUUCUAAGGGAUGAAAAAGGCUGCAAAGAAACUCCUUGCCAGGUGAAUUUAAUUCUUGAUUUUUCAGGGCUGAGGUGUUCAGUGGCUGUGCUGCUGCCCUCUGAAUAGCAGCUCUCCCCUUGAGAACAUCAGCUGCUCCCCUGCAGUGGUUUGAUACCAUUUGCAAACUUUGGGCAAGCUCUCCUCCAGGUCAUUCCCUCCGCCAUGUUGUUUAUUACACGCAAGCCAGCACUGAGCAUUUUUACUUCGUGACUGUGCCAGCCGGAUGGGGCAGAGCACUCACAUCCUGAGCUGGAUGGGCAGAAUCAUUUCCACACAUUUGCAAGGUCAUUCAGGUGAACUCGGGUACCCUCCUCAAGGUAUUGAUGUGUUUCUAAGCCUUAAGGAGUCCUUUUUCCAAGAUGAGAUGUACAUUCAUCAUGCAUUUUUCAUAAAACCUAUCUAUAUUCAUUAAUUGGUUGUUAUGCUCCAGUUGAUGAAGAAUAGACCUCAAGGGUUUUGGCAAGGACUCUUUAGCUUUAAUGUCUUUAGUUCCUCCCUUUGCUCGGCAAUGGCUGGGAGAGGAGAACAGGGAGUAGCACGAAAGCUUUGCCUGUAGUUACCUCUCAAUAUCCUUCCUCUAUCUAAUAACAUCCUUCCUUGGAGAGCUAAGACGUGAUGGUCCAUAAGAAGCCAGCCCUCACCUCUCACCAGGGAAGUGGCCCCUGCCAUACUGGGGCUGAUAAAUAUGACAAAUGACAUCGUAUUUAUUUUACAACAAAGAGAGUGCUUCAGCUAUCUAGAGAUCAAAGCAUAUUAGCAUGUGGAUAAAAACUCCAGUGUUUGUGUAAUCCCUAAAUAGAUUUCUUUGGCUAGUAGCUGCAAGCUGCUACUCCCACCCGGCUCAUCAUCCUAAUGGGUAGGUGUCACGUCAAGGAGGAAGAGCUGUGAUUUAGCUGGUAGGUUAAUGAGAAAGUAGGAGGUGUAACUGGUUGCAUUUUUGGAUUUUUUUUUCUGCCCUACUCUGGACAAAAACCUCAUUACCUUGUGCACAAACCUGCUUAAUUCUGUGCAGCUUUGCAGCUUCUUCUUGCUUCAUGCUCCCAUCAGAGGACUGCUGUGUGCCGUGGUUGCCCCAGGCAGCUGAAGAUUUGCAGCCACCUAUGUGCUCCCAGCCAUCGAGGAGCAGCGAGAUCGGGGCUGCUCUCACAAGAAGGUGAAGCCAAGGUGGGACCUAUACCCUCAGCAUCCAACCAAGAUGGACACAACCUAGAGUCCAGGUCAUAUGGCAACACCAUGGUGAUGAUGGAGGUCCAAGGCAAAGCUGGGAACUCAUCCUGCAGGCUGAGGUCCACAUCAAGGAGCCCCAUGGCUAGGCAUAGGCUGAAGCCCAGCACUCCUGCAGUUCACAGUCUGGGAAACAUGCACAGAUAUGCUACCUUCUUAUUACUAAUGUUUAUUAAUUAAAGAUAGAGUUUACAGACUGCUUCUGCAAGUACCAUUCAUUCCCAUAAGACCUUUCGGGGUGACAGAGGUAUUCACCUCUGACCACCCCAUGCCUCCUCAUCCUUUGGGUACUGCUGUGGAACUUAGCCCAGUCUCCGUGUAGGAUGGAGCAGAGCGUGAGCGAUGCUGGAUAACUCCUGCCCUCCCAUCUUCUCCGGCAGCUCAGGGAUGUUGGCACCUGCCUUUGGCCACCACUGAGAGCCAUUUGUCUUGUGCUUCUGCAAGCGUGAAAUGCAAGGUGACAGCUUGACGUGCAGCAGCAGGAGGGAACGGCCCCCUCCUCCCCCCGCGCACGUCUUCUCUUCCAGGAGCCCUCAAGAAGCCAUCCUGGCAGUGCCUCCAGUCCUUCUGCUCAUGCCUCAUUUCCAACUCAUUCAUGCAGCCUGCCCACCAGACCCUUACCUAUCUGUAUGUCCCCAGAGGGGGAUCUGUGCUUACAGGGUCUGCUGCACACCAUGACUUUGGUCUCCAAAAUCAACAUUACAGCUGGGCUGAAGGACUCUGAGCUCCUCAUCCCAGGACCAGAGCAGCCCUGCCCAAACCAUUCCUAAUGCUGCAUCUGUCCAACUUGCUUUUAAAAUAUCCCACAGUCUCCUCCAGGUCUUGGGUUUAUGUGCCAGCCUGGUGGGGAGCACAUCAUGAUGCUCUCUAUGACUGCUUUGCAGGGUCUUCCCAUCAGGCUUUGACCAGCCUGAACCGCUGACCAGCCAUAGCUCUCUUUCUUCAGGAUGAGAGGUAAUGGUCUUAAGUUGGACCAGGGGAGGUUCAGAUUAGAUGUUAGGAAAAAUUUCUUCUCCAAAAGAGUGGUCAGGCAGUGGCACAGGCUGCCCAGGGAAGUGAUGGAGUCACCGUCACUGGAGGAGUUCAAGAAAUGUGGAGAUGUGGCACAGAGGGACAUGGUAUAGUGAUCAUGGUGGAGAUGGGUCAACGAUCAGGCUAGAUGGCCUUAGAGGUCUUUUCCAACCUUAAUGAUUCUAUGAUUCUGUGAUUCUAUGACUCUACGAUUCCUUCCUGCACAUGUUCGGAGGGAGUUGAACAUCUUCCCAGGGGACAGGACACCAAAGAAUGGGUCAGGCACAGCACAAAGUGUCUGAAGAGGAUGGUGCCCUUCUAUUGGCAUCUCUAGCACUCAAGUCCCAACAGCACAGUCCUCCCAUCAGGAUCAGAUCCAGCUGUGAGAUUUGGCCAGGACAAGCUGAAGACCAAGGGAUGCGGUUAGGUCUCCUUCAGUUCAGCCCUGCAGCCACUCAGCAGAGACAUGGCACUUCGUUUAAGAGGGAGCCAGGGCUGCAAAGCAUCGACCAUUUGGGUUUCUAUUUCCCAGCUGCUGGCGGCUCUGUGAAAAUGCACGGGGAGAAGGAAUAACAGGUCCUGAGCCCAGCACAUGUCCUGCAGCCUGGAAACACAGCCCUGAGAUCCCCAGCCCUUCUGCAAACCGUGGCCCUGCACUUUGCUGUUGUAUCAGACCACACUGCAGUGACCCUGGCCAGCACCACAGCCAGGAUUUCCUCAGCUGAGAGAGACCAGGGCAGACCUGACCGUGGUGCUUUACAGAUCCUACUGUUUUUCUGCUGCUGCGUAUGUUGGCUCUGAGAUGAGCUGUGCUGCUCUGUUAGAAUUUUUUCCCUGCUGCUCAAGUUGAUAGCUACAGUGAGGAGAUGUCUUCUCUGAUUUACACAUCCUCCUUAUGUGGGGUGGAGCUCGUGGUUAAAAAAAUCAUUUCUCACAGAGUUCUCUGCCUCAUUUUCCUUUGUCCCUGGUUGUGGUUGGCGUCUGAAAGGUCGGGGACAGAGACCUUCCCCUGCCCUGUGCUCAGCAGGGCUCCAUUGGUGCAAACCCACAAGUUCAACAACACUGUGCCCACGUCAUUUCCUGAGCACUGCCUUUUCCGGAGCUUUUGGUUUCAAAAGCAUUCCUCCGUGGUCAGAAGAAAUGCUAUGAAAACAUGCUUGUGCUUCCCAGUGCUUGGGUCGUGCUGCCCCAGCAUGCGAUGUGGGUCCUCUUGCUGUCCCCUGCACUACAGCCCCCAGCAGCUCCCAUCACCCGCUAAAGAGAUUUGCAGUGCUCACUGCCAACGGCUCCCCAAGUGUGGGCUGCGAAGAUUAAUGGCUCUGCUGCUCGCCUGCUCUGUGCGAACAUCGCUGAAGGGCAUCUAUGGGCUGAGCUGAUAAAGAGAGCUUAAUGGGAUGGAGUCCCUCCGUGUGAGGCUUCCAGCUGGGCUGAAUGUUCCACGAUGUCCUUACUGAUCUCCUUUGGGUGAUGGGGCGCUGCUUCAGCCUGAUGCUUUCUCUGCUGCCCCGGGUGGUGUCACACAUCCAACCACCGCAUGGUUCCCAUCCCCUGUGUUCUCCAGGCCCCCCUCUUGCCCAGCUCCAUUCCCCACUGCCCAUUUGACAUCCGAGGCAUGCUGUGACCCCACCUGCCAGCAUGACCCCUGCACCCUCCCGGUGUUGGUCACCCCAUACCAGCCUUCACUCUGACUGGGUCAUUCCUGCAGGAAAACCCACCUCUAUUCCCUUACAGAAAACCCUCUCUGCCUUCUCCCAGCUGCCCAAAGGUUUCUCCACAGCUCUAUCAGCCCCCAGCUCCGGUAUGUGGAGCUUCUCCUGGUGCAGAGCUGUGACCCUGAGAGUUUCUGUUCCAGCAUUUACCAGGCAGCUUCAGAG